AGCAUAGCAUAAAGGGUUAAACCAUUAUCGUGACAAAAAUAGUAAUAAUUUGCAUUAUAUGGUGCUUUAAAGUUUGAUUUACAUAUAAUUUGAUCCUCCCAGCAACCCUGUGAAUUAGAUGUUAUUAAAAAAAAAUCUCCCUUUUACAGUACAGGGACCUCAAAACCCAACAAUUUCUGAUAUAACACUUUUAGCUGAUAGCAUGGAUGUAAUUACUAUUCUCCAAAUCCAAUGUUAUAAAGGGGCUCCCUUGUAGGUUCUUGAAAUGGGACAGGCCAAUAAAAUUUGUUUGGUUGUUUGCCUUCUACGUAUGUUCAUCCUUUUCUGGGCUGUCUUCCAGGUAGUAAAAUACAAUUCCAGGCAUCCCUGAGCACAUAGUGCUGUAGAAACUAGUAGUCAAGUGGAUUGGUAUAUACUUAGUCUCCAGUGAAGAACAAAUCUAUAGUCAAAAUAUAUAAUUGUAUAGGAAACCAGGGAUUCCUAACAUUGUUUCAUACCUCCCAGUAGCUCAUGUUUCUUUUCUUUCUUGUAGCAAUCCUCCCCAGUAUCCCUCUCACCCCUUUUCCCUUCUGUUCUUCUCAAGAUGGGGAUGCUGAAAAGUGCAAGGCCUCUUUGGAGGUACAGUAGCAAGACUGGUCAGUCUAGAUAGAUUUAAGAAUAUAUAGUCUCAAAUUUAUAAGGUCCAGAACAUAGAUUUAGUGUUAGAAGAUUUUGAAAUAAACUAAUCCAAUCUCUUCACAGAUAAAAAAACCAAGAGAUAUAAAAUGUUUUACUCAUAUCAAUAGAGAGAGGCAAAAUUUGGUCCCGGCUUCUUUGUCUCCAAAUAUCAAGCUCUCUUCGCUGGAUCACACACUUGUGGCUGGAGAAGAAACACAGAAGUCAGUGAAGAAGCUCUGGGUGGCCUGACUCAAAACUCAUCCCUUCUGGGAAGCCUGGAAUAAAGAAAGUGGCUUUGCCAGACUCAACAAAUACCACCUUGAUGGGCCCCAAGGGGACAGCAGCCAUCAGCUAAAUAAUAAACAAACCAUUAGGUGAAAGAACAGA